rnacentral:tRNA from 1 species
GGGCGAGUUCUCGAUAUUGGAACUGGGUGCGGUCUGCAAAACCGUAAUAAUGCGGGUUCGAUUCCCGCCUCGCCCUCCA